rnacentral:tRNA from 1 species
UCCCUUGUGGCUCAGCUGGUAAAGUAUCUGCCUGCAAUGCAGGAGACCUGGGUUCGAUCCCCGGGUUGGGAA